rnacentral:rRNA from 1 species
CCUACGGGGUGCAGCAGUGGGGAAUAUUGGACAAUGGGUGAAAGCCUGAUCCAGCCAUGCCGCGUGUGUGAAGAAGGCCUUCGGGUUGUAAAGCACUUUCAGUGGGGAAGAAAGCCUUGGGGCUAAUACCCUCGAGGAAGGACAUCACCCACAGAAGAAGCACCGGCUAACUCCGUGCCAGCAGCCGCGGUAAUACGGAGGGUGCGAGCGUUAAUCGGAAUUACUGGGCGUAAAGCGCGCGUAGGCGGUCUGAUAAGCCGGUUGUGAAAGCCCCGGGCUCAACCUGGGAACGGCAUCCGGAACUGUCAGGCUAGAGUGCAGGAGAGGAAGGUAGAAUUCCCGGGGUAGCGGUGAAAUGCGUAGAGAUCGGGAGGAAUACCAGUGGCGAAGGCGGCCUUCUGGACUGACACUGACGCUGAGGUGCGAAAGCGUGGGUAGCAAACAGGAUUAGAUACCCCAGUAGUC